UACGUAGGGUGCGAGCGUUGUCCGGAUUUAUUGGGCGUAAAGAGCUCGUAGGCGGCUUGUCGCGUCGAAUGUGAAAUCUCAGGGCUCAACUCUGACAUUGCAUUCGAUACGGGCAGGCUCGAGUUCGGUAGGGGAGACUGGAAUUCCUGGUGUAGCGGUGAAAUCCGUAAAUAUACGAAGGAACGCCAAAAGCGAAGGCAGCUCUCUGGGUCCCUACCGACGCUGGGGUGCGAAAGCAUGGGGAGCGAACAGG
rnacentral:rRNA from 1 species